rnacentral:pre_miRNA from 1 species
UAUCUACUCCCUCCAUCCGAAAAUACUUGUCACGGAAAUGAAUAAAAAUGGAUGUAUCUAGAACUAAAAUGCAUCUAGAUACAUCCAUUUCUCCGACAAGUAUUUCUGGGUGGAGGGAGUAUGUU